GACGAACGCUGGCGGCGUGCCUAACACAUGCAAGUCGAACGGAACUGUUUUGAAAGAUUUCUUCGGAAUGAAUUUGAUUUAGUUUAGUGGCGGACGGGUGAGUAACGCGUGAGUAACCUGCCUUCAAGAGGGGGAUAACAUUCUGAAAAGAAUGCUAAUACCGCAUGACAUAUCGGAAUCACAUGGUUCUGAUAUCAAAGAUUUUAUCGCUUGAAGAUGGACUCGCGUCCGAUUAGUUAGUUGGUGAGGUAACGGCUCACCAAGACCGCGAUCGGUAGCCGGACUGAGAGGUUGAACGGCCACAUUGGGACUGAGACACGGCCCAGACUCCUACGGGAGGCAGCAGUGGGGGAUAUUGCGCAAUGGGGGCAACCCUGACGCAGCAACGCCGCGUGAAGGAUGAAGGUUUUCGGAUUGUAAACUUCUUUUAUUAAGGACGAAAAAUGACGGUACUUAAUGAAUAAGCUC
rnacentral:rRNA from 1 species